CGGACGUGAGGAACCUGCCUUGAAGAGGGGGACAACAGUUGGAAACGACUGCUAAUACCGCAUGACGCAUAGAGGUCGCAUGAUCUUUAUGCCAAAGAUUUAUCGCUUCAAGAUGGCCUCGCGUCUGAUUAGCUAGUUGGCGGGGUAACGGCCCACCAAGGCGACGAUCAGUAGCUGGACUGAGAGGUCGAACGGCCACAUUGGGACUGAGAUACGGCCCAG
rnacentral:rRNA from 1 species